GUAAGAGAUGGAGAUUGGAGAUGGAGGUGAGGAUGAGAGAUGGAGAUGGGGGUGGAGAUGAGAGAUGGAGGUAGAGAGGAUAGGUGGAGGUGGAGAUUAGGGAUGGAGAUGGAGGCGGAAGUGGAGAAGAGAGAGUGAGGGAGGGAGAGAGAGUGGAGAGAGAACAAUAAUUUCACUGUUAUCACCUUAUCUUCAGGAAGACACCAUCUCUUGCAGGAAAACAGAUUUUCAGGGAGCCAAGAGGCCCUGGACAAAGCAAAGACUGCGUUUGGUUGGCCAAACAAGUGAAUCCAGAAGGGACUGUCUCUUAGUCUUGUCAGAGCUGGUCUCCCUAUUUGUCUGGUAUUUGUGAUUGGCCAAGUAUUUGGAGACCCUGCCUGCAGGUAUCUUUUCAACCUUUGGCCUUUGACCUUGUGUUUCCCAGGUUGCUGCGCAGUGCUCAGCUCCCAGCGCUCACCAAUCCUGCAGCAAACACUCUCAGAGCAGCCCCUGAGGGCCACCCUCUGCCAGGUGGAGGUACAGACGCAACUAAGACACCAAGGAGCUCCAGGUGUCCGCCUUUCCUGGCUCAGUGGCCCCUGACACAUGAGGUGGGCUCUGAGCCGCUCUGCCCCAGCUCUGCCGGGACACUUGGCUGUCCCCUGAGUGCCCACAAAUCUCCCACCUAA
rnacentral:lncRNA from 9 species